rnacentral:piRNA from 1 species
UGCUUCAGUAUUCACUGGGAGUGAGGGGGU